rnacentral:rRNA from 1 species
CAUGCAAGUCGAACGGAGUCAAGAGAAGCUUGCUUUUCUUGACUUAGUGGCGAACGGGUGAGUAACGCGUGAGUAACCUGCCCUGGAGUGGGGGACAACAGUUGGAAACGACUGCUAAUACCGCAUAAGCCCACGGCCCGGCAUCGGGCUGAGGGAAAGGGAUUUAUUCGCUUCAGGAUGGACUCGCGUCCAAUUAGCUAGUUGGUGAGGUAACGGCCCACCAAGGCGACGAUUGGUAGCCGGACUGAGAGGUUGAACGGCCACAUUGGGACUGAGACACGGCCCAGACUCCUACGGGAGGCAGCAGUGGGGGAUAUUGCACAAUGGGGGAAACCCUGAUGCAGCGACGCCGCGUGGAGGAAGAAGGUUUUCGGAUUGUAAACUCCUGUCGUUAGGGACGAUAAUGACGGUACCUAACAAGAAAGCACCGGCUAACUACGUGCCAGCAGCCGCGGUAAAACGUAGGGUGCAAGCGUUGUCCGGAAUUACUGGGUGUAAAGGGAGCGCAGGCGGACCGGCAAGUUGGAAGUGAAAACUAUGGGCUCAACCCAUAAAUUGCUUUCAAAACUGCUGGCCUUGAGUAGUGCAGAGGUAGGUGGAAUUCCCGGUGUAGCGGUGGAAUGCGUAGAUAUCGGGAGGAACACCAGUGGCGAAGGCGACCUACUGGGCACCAACUGACGCUGAGGCUCGAAAGCAUGGGUAGCAAACAGGAUUAGAUACCCUGGUAGUCCAUGCCGUAAACGAUGAUUACUAGGUGUUGGAGGAUUGACCCCUUCAGUGCCGCAGUUAACACAAUAAGUAAUCCACCUGGGGAGUACGACCGCA